rnacentral:lncRNA from 1 species
CGAGAGGGCGCAGGGAGUCCCGCUCCCUGGAGGGCCCGCCCCCUUGGAGGGGACCGGAAGCGCUUGUCCUGGCCCGGAAGCAGUGCUGACUCCGUACACGCGCGCUGCGGCAUGGCGGCCCACCGCCCCGGCCCGCUCAAGCAGCAGAAUAAAGCUCAUAAAGGCGGACGGCAUCGGGGUCGGGGAUCUGCACAGCGGGACGGCAAGGGUAAGGAGAUAACGUAGAAGGAAUAAGGGCUAUUUGGCCGUUAU